CGAGGGAUGAUGAAGAAAAUCAUUCGGAUUCCCAUUGAUUUGUACCAACAAAGAUGAGAUCUUCAACCAGCUACUUCUGACCCAA
rfam:Brachypodium distachyon strain Bd21 chromosome 1, whole genome shotgun sequence.